rnacentral:rRNA from 1 species
GGGUGAUAGCGUGCCUUUUGUAGAAUGAACCGGCGAGUUACGAUUUGUUGCAAGGUUAAGCGGAAAAAGCGGAGCCGUAGCGAAAGCGAGUCUGAAUAGGGCGCAUAAGUAACAGGUCGUAGACCCGAAACCAGGUGAUCUACCCAUGUCCAGGAUGAAGGUAAGGUAAUACUUACUGGAGGUCCGAACCCACGCACGUUGAAAAGUGCGGGGAUGAGGUGUGGGUAGCGGAGAAAUUCCAAUCGAACUUGGAGAUAGCUGGUUCUCUCCGAAAUAGCUUUAGGGCUAGCCUCGAGGUAAAGAGUCAUGGAGGUAGAGCACUGUUUGGACUAGGGGCCCUUCUCGGGUUACCGAAUUCAGAUAAACUCCGAAUGCCAUGUACUUAUACUCGGGAGUCAGACUGCGAGUGAUAAGAUCCGUAGUCGAAAGGGAAACAGCCCAGACCACCAGUUAAGGUCCCCAAAUAUAUGUUAAGUGGAAAAGGAUGUGGGGUUGCUUAGACAACCAGGAUGUUGGCUUAGAAGCAGCCACCAUUGAAAGAGUGCGUAAUAGCUCACUGGUCGAGUGACCCCGCGCCGAAAAUGUACCGGGGCUAAACAUAUUACCGAAACUGUGGAUGAACCUCUUUAGAGGUUCGUGGUAGGAGAGCGUUCUAAGGGCGGUGAAGUCAGACCGGAAGGACUGGUGGAGCGCUUAGAAGUGAGAAUGCCGGUAUGAGUAGCGAAAGAAGGGUGAGAAUCCCUUCCACCGAAUAUCUAAGGUUUCCUGAGGAAGGCUCGUCCGCUCAGGGUUAGUCGGGACCUAAGCCGAGGCCGAUAGGCGUAGGCGAUGGACAACAGGUAGAGAUUCCUGUACCAGUGCUAAUUGUUUAACCGAUGGGGUGACACAGAAGGAUAGGGAAUCGCACGAAUGGAAAUGUGCGUCCAAGCAGUGAGUGUGAG